GACGAACGCUGGCGGCGUGCUUAACACAUGCAAGUCGAACGGAAAGGCCCUGCUUUUGUGGGGUGCUCGAGUGGCGAACGGGUGAGUAACACGUGAGUAACCUGCCCUUGACUUUGGGAUAACUUCAGGAAACUGGGGCUAAUACCGGAUAGGAGCUCCUGCUGCAUGGUGGGGGUUGGAAAGUUUCGGCGGUUGGGGAUGGACUCGCGGCUUAUCAGCUUGUUGAUGGGGUAGUGGCUCACCAAGGCUUUGACGGGUAGCCGGCCUGAGAGGGUGACCGGCCACAUUGGGACUGAGAUACGGCCCAGACUCCUACGGGAGGCAGCAGUGGGGAAUAUUGCACAAUGGGCGGAAGCCUGAUGCAGCAACGCCGCGUGCGGGAUGACGGCCUUCGGGUUGUAAACCGCUUUCGCCUGUGACGAAGCGUGAGUGACGGUAAUGGGUAAAGAAGCACCGGCUAACUACGUG
rnacentral:rRNA from 1 species